AUUGAACGCUGGCGGCAUGCUUUACACAUGCAAGUCGAACGGUAACAGGUUAAGCUGACGAGUGGCGAACGGGUGAGUAAUGCAUCGGAACGUGCCCGGUCGUGGGGGAUAACGCAGCGAAAGCUGCGCUAAUACCGCAUACGAUCUGAGGAUGAAAGCGGGGGACCGUAAGGCCUCGUGCGAUCGGAGCGGCCGAUGUCAGAUUAGGUAGUUGGUGGGGUAAAGGCUCACCAAGCCGACGAUCUGUAGCUUGUCUGAGAGGACGACCAGCUACACUGGGACUGGGACACGGCCCAGACUCCUACGGGAGGCAGCAGUGGGGCAUUUUGGACAAUGGGGGCAAGCCUGAUCCAGCAAUUCCGCGUGCAGGAAGGAGGCCUUCGGGUUGUAAACUGCUUUUGUACGGAGCGAAAAGGCUCUCUCUAAUACAGGGGGCUCAGGACGGUACCGUAAGAAUAAGCACCAGCUAACUACGUGCCAGCCGCCGCAGUAA
rnacentral:rRNA from 1 species